rnacentral:rRNA from 1 species
GAGCGGCGGACGGGUGAGUAAUGUCUGGGAAACUGCCUGAUGGAGGGGGAUAACUACUGGAAACGGUAGCUAAUACCGCAUAAUGUCGCAAGACCAAAGUGGGGGACCUUCGGGCCUCAUGCCAUCAGAUGUGCCCAGAUGGGAUUAGCUAGUAGGUGGGGUAACGGCUCACCUAGGCGACGAUCCCUAGCUGGUCUGAGAGGAUGACCAGCCACACUGGAACUGAGACACGGUCCAGACUCCUACGGGAGGCAGCAGUGGGGAAUAUUGCACAAUGGGCGCAAGCCUGAUGCAGCCAUGCCGCGUGUGUGAAGAAGGCCUUCGGGUUGUAAAGCACUUUCAGCGGGGAGGAAGGCGUUGAGGUUAAUAACCUUGUCGAUUGACGUUACCCGCAGAAGAAGCACCGGCUAACUCCGUGCCAGCAGCCGCGGUAAUACGGAGGGUGCAAGCGUUAAUCGGAAUUACUGGGCGUAAAGCGCACGCAGGCGGUCUGUCAAGUCGGAUGUGAAAUCCCCGGGCUCAACCUGGGAACUGCAUUCGAAACUGGCAGGCUAGAGUCUUGUAGAGGGGGGUAGAAUUCCAGGUGUAGCGGUGAAAUGCGUAGAGAUCUGGAGGAAUACCGGUGGCGAAGGCGGCCCCCUGGACAAAGACGGACGCUCAGGUGCGAAAGCGUGGGGAGCAAACAGGAUUAGAU